AGUGAACGCUGGCGGUAGGCCUAACACAUGCAAGUCGAACGGCAGCACAGUAAGAGCUUGCCCUUACGGGUGGCGAGUGGCGGACGGGUGAGGAAUACAUCGGAAUCUACUUUUUCGUGGGGGAUAACGUAGGGAAACUUACGCUAAUACCGCAUACGACCUACGGGUGAAAGCAGGGGAUCUUCGGACCUUGCGCGAUUGAAUGAGCCGAUGUCGGAUUAGCUAGUUGGCGGGGUAAAGGCCCACCAAGGCGACGAUACGUAGCUGGUCUGAGAGGAUGAUCAGCCACACUGGAACUGAGACACGGUCCAGACUCCUACGGGAGGCAGCAGUGGGGAAUAUUGGACAAUGGGCGCAAGCCUGACCCAGCCAUACCGCGUGAGUGAAGAAGGCCUUCGGGUUGUAAAGCCCUUUUGUUGGGAAAGAAAAGCAGCAGGUUAAUACCCCGCUGUUCUGACGGUACCCAAAGAAUAAGCACCGGCUAACUUCGUG
rnacentral:rRNA from 1 species